GAUGGAGGAGAUGGAGGUGCUUCGGUUAUCAACCAAAGUGAAACAAGAAAGUAGACCUGACCCAGAUCGGGGGGAGGUGAGCGAGGAUUAUAUUCUUGUGAAAGUAAGGUUUUCGAGGGGAAUUGGGAGCCGCAGUAACGCUCCUAGAUUCGAGACAAUUUUGGGUCAACCUCCGAUUUGUCCAGAAUGUUUCAUCCCCCUACAGGACUAGGUGCACACAAAUCAAUCGCAGAAUCUCUUGUCACUCAUGCGUGUCCCCGAGAGGGAACAUCCCAAUGCUAUCAACAAGUUACUGGAGGUGCUUGACGCCACAGUCUCCACCGAGCUGCCUGCCUAUUGACGUGGCCAUAUGGGGCAUGAUGCCGUAUCUGAAUCCAUGGACAUGUGUAAGCCCAAUCUCGUUCCCGCGACAAGGUCGUCUAUUGAAGCCCUGGAGAGAGUGAACCUCACGUUGCCUUUUGAAGAUCCAUGUGUUAUUUGUUUGGAGGAUUUCGGUGUUGAUCAAAUGGUUAUCCACUUGCCCUGUUCACACUAUUAUCAUGAACAUUGCAUUGUCCAGUCACUUGUGUCCCCUCUGCCGCUACCCAAUGCCAACUCUGGUGGAUGAAGUGCCUCCUCCUCAACUCUGUUGAGCCCCAGUCAGGUUUAAUUAUCGACACAUGGCCUAUCCCUGUACAGGACGGUUAGCCACUUGGAAUACCUGAUGAGAGGAUAAUACUUUUGCUGGAUUGCUGGAGUUGACACGGCCUGUAAUGCAAUAAACAAGUAUCCUGCCCAAGUUUUUAAUAAUGAAAACCAGAGACUUAACUUGUAUGGAGAUAAUGUUGAGGUGAGAUUCCCUGAUUAUAGGUUCUGAUAUACGUGUCUACCUGGGUACUAUGUCGAUAUUGUGAGAGUGAGACUGAUCGAGAACUGAGAAUUUAGGUGAAUCUGAUCGAACCAUACGGACACUGCUGAGAAUGCAUCACACAUGGUUCUGUUUCUGUUAGACAAAACUAAAGAGACUGAGAUCUGGAACCUUGUACGAUUAUUUUGUAUUUAAGCCUGAAUAUGCUAAGGAUUUUCAAUGA